GAUGAACGCUGGCGGCGUGCCUAAUACAUGCAAGUCGAGCGAACAGACGAGGAGCUUGCUCCUCUGAUGUUAGCGGCGGACGGGUGAGUAACACGUGGAUAACCUACCUAUAAGACUGGGAUAACUUCGGGAAACCGGAGCUAAUACCGGAUAACAUGUUGAACCGCAUGGUUCAACAGUGAAAGACGGUCUUGCUGUCACUUAUAGAUGGAUCCGCGCCGCAUUAGCUAGUUGGUAAGGUAACGGCUUACCAAGGCAACGAUGCGUAGCCGACCUGAGAGGGUGAUCGGCCACACUGGAACUGAGACACGGUCCAGACUCCUACGGGAGGCAGCAGUAGGGAAUCUUCCGCAAUGGGCGAAAGCCUGACGGAGCAACGCCGCGUGAGUGAAGAAGGUCUUCGGAUCGUAAAACUCUGUUAUUAGGGAAGAACAAAUGUGUAAGUAACUAUGCACGUCUUGACGGUACCUAAUCAGAAAGCCACGACUAACUACGUG
rnacentral:rRNA from 1 species